rnacentral:rRNA from 1 species
UGGGGAAUCUUGGACAAUGGGGGCAACCCUGAUCCAGCGAUGCCGCGUGAGCGAAGAAGGCCUUAGGGUUGUAAAGCUCUUUCGCCCGCGACGAUGAUGACGGUAGCGGGAGAAGAAGCCCCGGCUAACUCCGUGCCAGCAGCCGCGGUAAUACGGAGGGGGCUAGCGUUGUCCGGAAUUACUGGGCGUAAAGCGCGCGUAGGCGGUCCACCAAGUCGGGGGUGAAAGCCCGGGGCUCAACCCCGGAAUGUCCUCCGAGACUGUUGGACUGGAGUUCGGGAGAGGAGAGCGGAGUUCCCAGUGUAGAGGUGAAAUUCGUAGAUAUUGGGAAGAACACCGGUGGCGAAGGCGGCUCUCUGGCCCGCAACUGACGCUGAGGCGCGAAAGCGUGGGGAGCAAACA